rnacentral:tRNA from 1 species
GAAGGUAUAGCUCAGCAGUAGAGCACAUGCUUAGCAUGCAUGAGGUCCUGGGUUCAAUCCUCAGUACCUUCA